rnacentral:lncRNA from 1 species
CUGCUGUCUUUUUGUUUGUCUGUGCCCUGCCCCCAGAGGUGGAGCCUACAGAGGCAGGCAGGCCUCCUUGAGCUGUGGUGGGCUCCACCCAGUUCGAGCUUCCGGGCUGCUUUGUUUACCUAAGCAAGCCUGGGCAAUGGCGGGCGCCCCUCCCCCAGCCUCGCUGCCGCCUUGCAGUUUGAUCUCAGACUGCUGUGCUAGCAAUCAGCGAGACUCCGUGGGCGUAGGACCCUCCGAGCCAGGUGUGUGAUAUAAUCUCGUGGUGCGCCGUUUUUUAAGCCGGUCCGAAAAGGUUAAUAUUCGGGUGGGAGUGACCCGAUUUUCCAGGUGCGUCCGUCACCCCUUUCUUUGACUCAGAAAGGGAACUCCCUGACCCCUUGCGCUUCCCAAGUGAGGCAAUGCCUCGCCCUGCUUCGGCUCGCGCACCGUGCGCGCACCCAUUGACCUGCGCCCACUGCCUGGCACUCCCUAGUGACAUGAACCUGGUACCUCAGAUGGAAAUGCAGAAAUCACCCGUCUUCUGCUUUGCUCACGCUGGGAGCUGUAGACCGGAGCUGUUCCUAUUCGGCCAUCUUCGUUUGAGUCCGCCUCUGUAUUUUAAUGCCCUUUGACUUGGUUGCCAAGUCAUCCCGUUCAUCCCUUUAGUUGCCAAGUUACUGUCCUCUAGGGGAGGGCCCCUAUCUUAUUUCAUUUGCUCCUGUGUCUAGCAAGAAAUAUGGCCUAUAUUGAAGCUUUUAGUAAAUAUUUCUUCAGUAAGUGAGUGAAUGGCAGUUAGAAUGAUUUAGAAACCAACUGGCUCACAAAGUCUAUUUAAACUAUAGUACUGAACAAAGACCAAAGGAGAAAAGCAAAGGCUAUCGAUUCUGAGCUUGCUAUAGCAAAGGAGUCGGCCACCAUCACUAGCGUUUGCGCAGAGACUCAAAGGCAGGCAGAGGAAUGCAAAAGCUUUAAGACCCACGGAAGAGAAGGCUCAGGUGUGCUGAUUGGACUGUUGGCGUGAAGAAGCUGGAGAAAAAGAAGAGAAAGAAAAGGAAAAGAGGAGGAAGUAUGGAAAGAUUUUACUUCAUUGAAAAGGAGCCAAGGAAGAAAUGGGCUUCAAGUUGAAGAUUUUAACAGUAACCCUUUUGAAAAUAUCAGAAGCCGGGGGAGGUGGCUCACACCUGUAAUCCCAGAACUUUGGGAGGCCGAGGCAGGUGGAUCGCCUGAGUUUGGGAGUUUGAGACCAGCCUGACCAACAUGGUGAAACCCCAUCUCUACUAAAAAUACAAAAAUUAGCCGGGCAUGGUGGCACAUGCCUGUAAUCCCAGCUACUCCGGAGGCUGAGUCAGGAGAAUCGCUUGAACCUGGGAGGCGGAGGUUGUGGUGAGCUGAGAUUACGCCAUUGCACUGCAGCCUGGGCAACAAGAGCAAAACUCUGUCUCAAAAAAAAAAUAAAAAUAAAUAAAUAAAAUAAAAAUAUCGGGACCAAAUCUUUACCUUAUAGGUCUCUUUUAUCUUAAAGCUCUGUCAACUGGCAAAACAAAUUAUGUUGUUUUUAGUCAGCAUUGAAGUAUUUAUUUUGCAUGCAAUAAGAUGCACCCAUUUUAAGUCCCAGGUUUUAUGAGUUUUCACAAAUGCAUUCACCUGUGUAGCUAUUCCCAUAAUCAAGACAUAGAAUGUUUCCACAAUUCCUGGAUUUCCCUCUUGCCCCUCUGUUGCCAAUUCCAGAGCCUCUAUACUAGGCACCCACUGAUCUGCUUCUAUUAUGUUAGCUUUGCCUAUUCUAAAAUUUUAUAUAAAUGAAAUCUUACGGUAUGUAGUUUUUUCUACCUGUCUUCUUUUACUCAGCAUGAUGUUUUCCUAUUUAUCCAUGUUGUUGCAUGUUUCUGGAAUUUUACUCUUUUUAUUGCUGAUUAGUAUUCUAUACCACCACUGUGCAAAAUGUAUUUUGUCCCUUUAUCUGUUGAUGGUCAUUUGGUUGUUCCCAGUUUCCUUCUAUUAUAAAUAAAAUGGUAUAGACAUCUGUAUAUAAGUGCUUGUGAAAAUAUAUUUUCAUUUUUCUUGGAUUAGGAUCUAGAAGUGCAAUUCUUGGAUCUUAUGAUGUGUACUUAUUUGUAUAAGAAACAAACUUUUCCAAAGCAAGUAUGCCCUACUAGACUCCCAUCCUCAAUAUAUGAG